rnacentral:rRNA from 1 species
CCUACGGGGGGCUGCAGUAGGGAAUUUUGCGCAAUGGGCGAAAGCCUGACGCAGCAACGCCGCGUGAUUGAUUAAGCCCUUCGGGGUGUAAAGAUCUGUCAGUGGGGACGAAACUUGACGGUACCCACAGAGGAAGCACCGGCUAACUACGUGCCAGCAGCCGCGGUAAUACGUAGGGGGCAAGCGUUAUUCGGAUUUACUGGGUGUAAAGGGAGCGUAGACGGCAGCGCAAGUCUGGAGUGAAAUGCCGGGGCCCAACCCCGGAACUGCUCUGGAAACUGUGAAGCUGGAGUGCAGGAGAGGUAAGCGGAAUUCCUGGUGUAGCGGUGAAAUGCGUAGAUAUCAGGAGGAACACCGGCGGCGAAGGCGGCUUACUGGACUGUAACUGACGUUGAGGCGCGAAGGCGUGGGGAGCAAACAGGAUUAGAUACCCAUGUAGUC